GUGGAUGAACAGGAGAGGGUGAAUACAGAGCAUGGCAGAUUGUGCAGAGGAGCAGUGGAGUUUUGGUUUGGAGCUCAGGUUUCCCAUUACCUGGCCGAUAUAUGGUCCAUUUCGUCAGGAACCCUCUUUUCCCAGUCUGGGAUGUAGAGGGUGUCGUUGGUUUGUUUGCGUGAGGGAGGGACUUUGAGCCCCGUCAUCUUCUGAACAACUUCUUCACUGGUCUGGAGAAGGAAAAACAGCGAGCGAGCGAAAGGUGGAUGGAUGCAUUUGUACUCU